rnacentral:lncRNA from 1 species
AAUGAAGAAUUUUUCAAAGCUUUCUUUAAGCUUCACUGCUGUUGAGCAAAUGCCUUCAUCAAAUAUACAUUCCAUGGCGAGUUUGAAGGAGCUUGAUAUGAGUGGAAUUUCUAUGAGAGAUCCCUCAUCUUCCCUGGUUCCAAUGAAAAAUAUCGAACUGCCUAGAUCAUGGCAUUCUUUCUUCAGUUUUGGCUUACUUCCAAGAAAGAAUCCCCACCCUGUGAGUCUGGUGUUAGCUUCCUUAAAAGAUUUACGCUUUUUGAAGCGUCUAAAUCUGAAGGAUUGCAAUCUUUGUGAAGGAGCAAUACCUGAAGAUAUUGGUUUAUUGUCCUCUUUAAAAGAAUUAAAUCUUGAUGGAAACCAUUUUGUUAGCCUUCCUGCAAGCAUCAGUGGGCUUUCUAAACUUGAGACGUUCACAUUGAUGAAUUGCAAAAGGCUUCAAAAAUUGCCAAGCCUUCCAUCAACCGGACGAAAUUUUUUUUCUUUAAAGACGGGUAAUUGUACUUCCUUAAAAGUAUUCCCAGAUCCAACACCGACGUGCGGUGGAAGUACCAUUUUGAUUGAUUUUUUCAACUGCUUCAGUUUGGUUGAUCAUCAAGGUUCCAGUUCCAUAAUAUAUUUAAUGCUGAAGAAAUUCCUUCAGGUACUUCCCUCUGUCCCUCCUUCCCUCCUUAGUUGUGUACGUAGUACUAUUUAUAUCCUUCCUUUGGUGCAGGAAAUUCCUCGUUCAUGGAAAAACUUCAGAAUUGUAAUUCCUGGAAGUGAAAUUCCUGAGUGGUUCAGUAAUCAAAGUGUGGGAGACUCAGUAAUUGAGACGCUACCUUCGGAUUCUAAUAGCAAGUGGGUGGGGUUUGCUUUUUGUGCUCUAUUUGUACCUGUUGAAGAAAUUUCAGCUACGGGACAUGGACGCAUCCUUUUCAAGAUGACUGAGUACGGGAGUUUUUUUAUUGAUGUAGUCAAUGAUGUAGCGUCCGAUCACCUUUGGUUGAUCCUCCUGUCUAGGGAAAGUUCCUUUGAUAAGGAACCAACCGGGAGACCUGAGACCUAUUGGUGGAAUGAAUGCUAUGAUCGUAAGAUUCGGUUUCAUUUCAAAGUCAAAGCAUCUGCAUCUUAUCCAGGAGAGAAGACGUUGGUGAAGGUGAAGAAGUGUGGAGUCCGCAUACUGUACGAACAAGAUGCUGAAGAGCUCAACCGAACAAUGAAACAAUAUUCCAACAGAAAGAAUUCUUUUUAUGAGGACGUUACAGAUUGUGAUUUUGACAAAUCAGACAAGGUACAAGGUGCCAUCACUAAGCGAACACGUGAGCAGUACUGUAUUGAGACAGGACCAAGCGGUAUUGUUACCCUUGGCAAAGAAUCACUCUGCAAAAGAAUGAAACUGUCCACUGCCUCAAAGGAAGAGUUGAAAGGUUGGUAUUGCUAACUCUUCCCAUAUUAUCAUAUAACAUUUUGUUUGAAAUCGAAAAAGUACUCUCUACAUCCCCAAACAAAUUUUUUGUUUUUUUUUGUAUGCGAACAUUUUAGCAUAUGAUUCACUCUCUUUGUUACUUUAUAUAUAUUUCUAAUUCAUUCACGUCAUUAGUUCACUUUCCCAUUAUCUUAUACAUAGUUAACUAGAACAAUUCAUGAAUUUGUUAUAGAUUUGGUAGAUUUUCCAAAAAUUCAUUGUUUCGCUUCCAUUUUAUCCUACUAGGUUAUAUUUAAAUUCAAUUGAAAUGCAUAUAUGCAGGAUGUGUUGUACUAGUGUAGUCUUGUAAAUUUUGUUUUGUUGCACCAAUCACUCUGGAAGCAGAACAAGUUUUGACAGUCUUUCUACUUCUUAUAAUCAGAUUCAAAUUUAGUUGGGAGCAGAGAGUUCCAUCAUCCGGAAGCCUAAUCGCGCAUUUUACCGACUGAAACAUUUAAACAUGGUUGGGGGACAUCUAUUUAUGCUUAAAUGGUUUGUUUCUUAGUUUAAAUUCCACAUGUGCUGUAUAAAUUUAGUAGGUUAAUUAGCGAAGCUCUAUUUGAGAGAUUCACAUUAACUAGGGCGUGGACAAGUCAAUCAACUCCAAAAUGACCUGUGCUGUAAUUCCACUACUACAUAUUUCCUUAUGCUAAAAGCUUUAUUUUAUUAUUAUUAUUUUUUUUUCAAGCAUCUGUCAUAACCCUUUCAAAUGACUCAUCAAAUGUUACAUUCAUCCAAAUAGUGACUUAAUGAAAUUCAAAAAUAGUUUCUCAAAUUUAAUUUUGCUUCCAAACUAAUUAAUGGUGUCAUGAACUUGAGCUUAAUAUCAUCAACUGACCUUAUUUGCAUACAUAUUCAAAAAAAUUGUGUUUAAAUUUUUAUUUUUAUUUUUUGAUAUAAGCAUAUGGAGAGAAGAGGAAUUGAACGUAGAACCUUGGAUGCACAGAUUAAUGCUCUUAAAUAAGACAAAAUGGUCAACAAGACCUAGCUCAAUGAAAAAGAUCUUGACUUUGCUGAUCAAUUAUCUCAAUUUUGAACUCUCAUGACACAUUCACAGUAUGUGUGUACGAAAACCCUCCACCUCCAAUAUAGCUUGAAUAGUAAAAAGACAAAAUUAUAUAACGAUGCUUCUUGAAACUUAUUCUCAACCAGUGGAUUUAAAUUGGCCAAAAUUGUGGUCGUACUUGGACUAUCCACGUUUGUUUCGAUGCUGGUAAAAGGAAGAAAGGUUUCUAGGCGGGGAGAGACCGUGGCGGCGAACUACGCGUUCGGGCCGCUCGAAGAUGACGUAAUCAUCAAGCACAGACUUCUCACUCGAAACCACAACCACAAGAGGCGAACCCCCAUUGAAGAAGCUCCAGAAGAAGUUCACAUCCCUGUUCGUCGAGCUCGACAAGAACGAGGACAACUAUGGCGACUGCGACAAGCUGGCCAAAGCUUUCCUCCAAGAGCUCAGCACAUUCGAGAUUCCGCUCCUCAAGAGCAAAGCGGUUGUGGAUGCAAAUCUCAGAGAGAAGCACAAUUUCGACGAGUUGAGGGAGGAGAUAAAUCGGCAGAUAGUGCAAGCGCAGACCGACAUUGAAUUACUGAAGAAGCAGCUUGAGGAGAGUAAAAUCGAAAGAAGGCAUAAGGAGGAGUGUGAGGCGAUCAGGAAAAUGAUCGCUACACAACCGCCUCGGUCCGAAACGCUCAAAAUCAUAUCCGAUUUGGAGAAAGAGAUCGUCGCUUUGGACGCUGAGAACACGGCAAGUUCGAGGAUGCUGGAGCUCCGAAAGAAGCAGUUUGCUCUGCUUUUGCAUGUGGUAUGCAGCUCUGUUAAAUUCGCCAAUUUUCGAUUAUGUUGCCUGCGUUAAGCAGUAGAACCCUUUUGAAACUAGAUUUAAUUUUCGUUGUAUUUGAUGUUUUUGCAGGUGGAUGAGUUGCAGAACACCAUAGAGGAAGAGCAGAAGAGUUUGAUUGAGGAGAAAGAGCACAAACACGGAAUCCGUGCAUGUUGAUUAGAGUAUGUAAUGCAUCUCUUGGUUUUGCAGUUGUAAGAUUGUGUUUUUCAUGAAUGGGUUUCUAUCUAUCUUGAAUCUUGAUUUAUAGAAACGGGAAUGUAGAGUGGUGCUCUACAGUUGGAAUAUGUCAGCGAUAUUUUGAAAUUCUUAAUUUUGUGCAACUUGUAGAUUUUCUUGCAUACUGCUUCACCAAGUUCACAUGAUGGGUAGAACUUUGCCAGAACUUCGUUCUGGAUCAAUUUCAAUUGAAAUUUUUAAUUGUCUAAACGUAAUGCUUGUGUGUACAUUGCAUUUGAGUGUAAUAUUACAGUUUGCAUCCAGAUAAAUAUUGAGAAGUUGGAAAUGCAUACUUAUUUUGGGUAGUGUCAAAUAAACUCUUGUGCUUUUCCUUUUCCGUGUACAAUGGCUACUGUUGCUUUACUCAAGUUGUUGAUGUGUAACCCUUUGAGCAGAGCUAAAAUCCCUUUUGCCGCCUAAUCUCAUUUCAUUCAAAUGUUUCUGUUUUUAGUUUUAAAACUUUUUCGAUUUUUCUGCUGUGUAAAAUAAGAACCAUUGGAUUAGAGUCCAAGUGGCUUCUUAAGUGAGGUGUUAGAUUGAGACAAGUGUAAUCAUCUUAUAGGAUGAUAGUUCAAUGGCUAGGAUUGAGUUUGGUAUUGAGGCAGUUAGAGAAGAAUCUCUCUUCUCUCUCCUCAACGGUUAUAUUUCCUGUUUGGCUUGUAAUGAAAAGUAGCAGAUUUCAUUCCUUCAUUUUUUUUUCAGUUCUUUCACAGAGAGCAACGUUCUCUCAUUUCUCUCCCAAACACAUCCAAAAACUAUGAAUUCUAUCAUGGCCUCAGAGCCAGGUUCGAUUGUUUGAGCUGGGCGUGAUCUGUGAACAGAAAAUCGAGCUCGAUCUGAGCUAUCGUUGAGCUGAUUUGGAAAUCGAAGUAGCGAGCUCUUGCAUCAAAGUGUCUCAUAUGGCAGGAUCUGGAGCAGCUGAGCUUCGAACACCAGUUUUCAAUGGAGAAAACUACGAAUUCUGGAGUAUUCGAAUGAAGACUAUUCUGAAAUCGAAUGGUUUGUGGGAUCUGGUCGAGAAUGGGCUAAAUGACUCAGACAUGAAGAAGGAAAAAGAGGAGGCUGCUGAUACUGAGAAGUCCAUGGUGGCUCAGAUUCUGAUGAAGGAUGCUCGUGCACUUGGAUUAAUUCAAAGUGCAGUUUCAGAUCAGCUAUUUCCAAGGAUUGUGAAUGAGGAGACCUCGAAGGGAGCUUGGGAUAUUCUGAAAUUGGAAUUCAGAGGAGAUAAACAGGUACGAAAUGUUAAAUUGCAAGGGUUGCGUAGGGAAUUUGAAUAUACUCGCAUGAAGGAUAGUGAAUCUCUAUCUAUCUAUCUGGUUAGAUUGUUUAAUAUGAUGAAUCAAAUGAAGAGUUAUGGUGAGGAGUUAUCUAGGGAGAGAAUUGUGCAGAAGCUAUUGUUUAGUCUGCCUAAGUCCUAUGAUUCUAUAUGCUCUGUGAUAGAGCACUCUAAGGAUCUUGAAACUCUGGAAGUUCAAGAAGUGGUUGCCUCCUUGAAGAGCUUUGAGCUCAGAUUGGAUAGGCACACUGAGAAUUCUUCAGAAAGAGCUUUUGCUAGUCUGAAUGUAAAAGAAAAGAAGCCUAAGAAUGAGAGUUUUUCUGAAAAUCAGAGUUUUCAGAAAAGUGCUCCUGGAAAUCAAAGCUUUCAAAAACAUUGGAAGCCUAAUGAUGGUAACAUAGCAGCUUGUAAGCAUUGUGACAAGUUACAUUAUGGCAAGUGCUGGUAUGAAGGCAAGCCUAAAUGUCAUGGAUGUGGAAAAUUUGGACAUAUGGUCCGAGAUUGCAAUGGAAAUAGGAAUGCACAUAGGGUGAAUUAUGCAAAUGAGAUGGAAGAAACUGGUACACUAUUCUAUGUCUGUAAUGCUGCAACAGAUGUAAAGGUUAAUCACUCUUGGUACAUAGACAGUGGGUGUAGUAAUCACAUGACAGGAGAUGAGGGACUUUUAGUAAAUGUUCAAAGGGAUUUGACUUCUAAGGUGAAGAUGGGGACUGGAGAAGUAGUUUCAGUUACUGGAAAAGGAACUUUGGUGAUAAAAACCAAGUUUGGUAAGAAGCACAUUCAUGAAGUAAUGCUUGUACCUGGUCUUGAAGAAAAUUUGCUCAGUGUUGGGCAAAUGAUGGCACAUGGCUACCAUCUUGUGUUUGGAGAGAAUAUGGUGAGAAUCUAUGAUGAUCAGUCACUGGAAAAUCUGAUUGUGAAGGUGCAAAUGACAAACAACAGAUGCUUUCCAUUGACAAUGAUGCCUGCCAGUGAGUUGGUUCUAAAAGCAAGUGUCACACAUUGCUUGCAGACAUGGCAUAAGAGACUUGGGCAUUUAAAUGAAAGAAGUAUGAAGCUGCUUGAAAAUCAAGGGAUGGUUCAUGGAUUACCUCACUUAGAACAAAUGUCAGUGGUGUGUGAUGGAUGUAUGCAAGGAAAGCAGCAUAGGGAUUCAUUCCCUUUGGAAUCCACUUGGAGAGCUUCUAAUCCCUUGGAAUUGGUUCACACAGACAUUUGUGGACCAAUGAAAACAGAAUCCCUCUCUGGAAACAGAUAUUUUCUCCUAUUUACAGAUGAUCACACUAGGAUGUCUUGGGUGUAUUUCAUUAGAAACAAAUCAAGUGCAUUGGAGUGUUUCAUGAAAUUCAAAGCUAUGACUGAGCUGCAAAGUGGGUUCAAGAUAAAGAGUUUGAGAAGUGAUAGGGGUGGAGAAUUCUUGUCAGGAGAGUUUAACAGUUUCUGUGAAGAAUCUGGCAUUCAAAGGCAAUUAACAGUGGCUUACUCCCCUCAGCAGAAUGGAGUAGCUGAGAGGAAGAAUAGAACAAUGGUUGAAAUGGCUAAGUCAAUGCUGCAUGAGAAAGGUAUCCCUUAUGAGUUUUGGGCAGAGGCUAUCAAUACUGCAGUCUAUUUGCUGAAUAGAUGUCCUACCAAGGCUCUCAAUAAGAUAACACCAUUUGAGGCUUAUACUGGCAGAAAACCAGGGGUUGCACAUUUAAAGAUAUUUGGAUCCCCUUGUCAUGUGCUUAUUCCUUCAGCAUUGAGGCAUAAGCUUGAAGAAAACAGUCACAAGUGUAUUUUUGUAGGCUAUGGUCUUUGUGAAAAGGGAUAUAGACUGUUUGAUCCAAGAAAUAGGAAGAUUAUUCUGUCAAGGGAUGUGAAAUUUGAUGAAGAAAGCUUAUGGAAAUGGGAGAAUGCUAGAGAAGGAGAAAUGACUGUGCUUGUGCCUACUGGAAAUCAAGACUAUGCUCUAAAUCCAGAUUUGAAUGCACCACUGCAAAUACAUGAAGAAGUCAUAGCUCCAGAAGAACCAAGUCAAAGCUUGGAGACACAAACACAAGCAGAUGGAGAUCCUACCCUGCAGGAUGAGAGCAUUGAAGGAAGUUCUCAAGCUAUUGAUCAUACACCAAAGAAAUGGAAAAGCAUUAAUGACAUUAUGGCUUAGUGUAAUAUGUGCAUUAUGGAGCCUGAGAAUUUUGAAGAGGCUGAUCUAGAUGAGUCAUGGAGAAGGGCAAUGGAAGCUGAGUUAGAAAUGAUUGAGAAGAAUAACACUUGGCAGCUUGUGGAAAGACCUUUUAACAAACCUGUCAUUGGUGUCAAAUGGAUCUAUAAGACCAAGCUUAAUCUAGAUGGCACUGUACAGAAGAAUAAGGCUCGAUUAGUAGCUAAGGGCUACUCACAAAAACCUGGAAUCGAUUACAAUGAGACUUUUGCCCCAGUAGCAAGGCUAGAUACCAUUAGGACUUUGAUAGCUCUGGCUGCACAGAAGGAAUGGCAUUUAUACCAACUGGAUGUCAAGUCUGCAUUUCUGAAUGGAGUUCUAAAAGAAGAAGUAUAUGUGGAGCAGCCACAGGGUUUUGAGAAAAAGAAUGAAGAAAUCAAAGUGUAUAAGCUGAACAAGGCCUUGUAUGGAUUAAAACAAGCCCCAAGGGCAUGGUAUGAUGAGAUAGAUUCCUACUUCAACAAGGCAGGAUUUAAGAAAAGUCCAAGUGAAGCUACACUUUACAUUAAAACUGAUGAAGGCUCAGGUAUUCUCAUUGUUUCUCUCUAUGUGGAUGAUAUUGUUUAUACUGGAAGUUGUGUAAAAAUGCUUGAAGAGUUCAAAAAUGACAUGAUGAGGCAUUAUGAGAUGACUGAUCUCGGGCUACUCUAUCAUUUUCUUGGCAUGGGAGUUGUGCAGACUGAGAAAUACAUAUUUCUCCAUCAGAAGAAGUAUGCAAUGAAAGUAGUUGAGAAGUUUGGUUUAAAAGGCUGUAAGUCUGUGGCAACCCCCUUGGUUGCAAAUGAAAGGCUGUGCAAAGAAGAUGGAAGUGAAAUGGCUGAUGAGAGUGAAUAUAGGCAGAUUGUAGGCAGUCUGCUGUAUCUGACAGCUACAAGACCAGACAUCAUGUUUGCCUCAAGUCUGCUUGCUAGAUUUAUGCAUAAUCCUACUAGAAAGCACAUGGGAACAGCCAAAAGGGUGUUGAGAUAUGUUCAAGGCACACUGGAUUAUGGAGUUGAGUUUAAAAAGGGCAAGGCAGCUACCUUAAUAGGCUACUGUGACAGUGACUGGGCAGGCAGUGAGGAUGACAGAAGAAGUACCUCAGGAUAUGUGUUUACUCUGGGAUCUGGUAUGUUUUCUUGGGCCUCAAUCAAACAGAAUACAGUAGCCUUGUCUACUGCUGAAGCAGAAUAUGUGAGUGCUGCUGAAGCAACAUCACAAGCUAAAUGGCUAAGGUUUAUACUUGAGGAUUUUGGAGAAGAGCAAGUGGAAGGCACACCAAUUCUGUGUGACAACACCUCUGCCAUAGCAAUGGCAAAGAAUCCUGUCUUUCAUCAGAAAUCCAGGCACAUAAGCAGGAAAUUCCAUUUCAUCCGAGAAGCUAUCCAAGCAAAGGAGAUUGAGCUAAUCUACUGCAAAUCUGAAGAUCAAAUUGCAGAUAUACUAACCAAGGCUUUAUCCAAGGAUCGUUUUGUGCAUCUCAGAGAUUUGCUUGGAGUUAAAUCAGUCAAAGGGUUAGAAGGGAGUGUUGAUGUGUAACCCUUUGAGCUGAGCUAAAAUCCCCUUUGCCGCCUAAUCUCAUUUCAUUCAAAUGUUUCUGUUUUUAGUUUUAAAACUUUUUCGAUUUUUCUGCUGUGUAAAAUAAGAACCAUUGGAUUAGAGUCCAAGUGGCUUCUUAAGUGAGGUGUUAGAUUGAGACAAGUGUAAUCAUCUUAUAGGAUGAUAGUUCAAUGGCUAGGAUUGAGUUUGGUAUUGAGGCAGUUAGAGAAGAAUCUCUCUUCUCUCUCCUCAACGGUUAUAUUUCCUGUUUGGCUUGUAAUGAAAAGUAGCAGAUUUCAUUCCUUCUUUUUUUUUUCAGUUCUUUCACAGAGAGCAACGUUCUCUCAUUUCUCUCCCAAACACAUCCAAAAACUAUGAAUUCUAUCACAAGUGGAGAAAAUGCUUUCGUAAGUAUCUUAGGAUGCAACAUUGAUGCAUCACAAUGUUUUGAAUAUUUGAUGCUAGUUUUUGAACGUAAAACAAAUAUAUAUUUGUUGUCGCAUGUGCUACAAAAUGCUAAGGGUUUUUUCUUUUGUUUUUUUCUUUUUUCAAUCACUCCAGUUGUAUUUGUGUUUGCUUUACAAAGAGAAAGGUUUGACUAUUGAUCACCAAAGAGGGUAGUGGGGAGACUAACGUUUGCUAAACAAUUCUUCCUCCAUGGUAGAUUUGCUUUCCCUGUUCCUCUACAUUGAGAGAGUUCAUAUCUGUUAAAUAUAUAUUUUUUAUAUUUUUUAGAUGAGAUGAAUACCUGUUACAUUCAUGUUUCAAGUGAGAGGUUUUUGGUUAGUUCCUGGGAAGCAAAGGGGCAUAAUUUUCCCUAUAGCUUGGGACAUCAGGAAGCAAUGAAAUGGGGAUAGUUUGAGGCUUCGUAUUGAAUUUGGUGUUUAUGUUCUGGUACCUUUUUAUUUUUAUUUUUAUUUUUUUAUGGUUUUAGAUAGUGAAUAAUCCAUUUUGCCUAUGGACUGUGUAUAUAGAUGAAGUUUCACUAUGUCACAUUAGAUUUUGUUUCCUUAGUAUUUGUGAUUGAUCUUGAUAUUGGAUGUAGGCUGUACUUUUAGAGGUGCCAAAGCCCUAUUCAAUUGGGUAUGGUUUUUCAGGGUUUAGUAUUUGUGAGGUAAGAAGUACAGGAAUAAGGUUGUAGGCUGUACUUUUAGAGGAGGUGAAUGUGUUGGGACUUCCUCAUUAUCCAAGCAUACUUAUACUUCUUUUAGUGGUAACUGGUCUUCGAAAAAUGAAACAAAAAGUAUGUUAGUUUUUUGUGAACCUCUUGAUGAGGCCUUGAUGGCUUAUUGGAAGCAGAUUUUUGAUAACGUAUUUGAAGUCGAUUUUAAUGUAUCAGAAGUAGAUUUUAACGUAUUGGAAGUAGAUUAGAACACAUGUGCAUGUUUGAUAAGGUGUUGUGAGGUGGUAUGUAUGUAUCUAGGUUCCUCUCCAGAGUUUAUUGGUUGAAUUGAAGUAGAUUACGACAAAACAUUCCUUAUGUUACAGAGGAAAAAAAACAGAAAUAUAAAGUACAACUUAGAUCCUAACCCUUCUUUGCAUCCUGGUCACACACACUGAUCAUUACAUAGAACGUGUCUUGUACAUUGUCUAGAAAUUGGACAUAUGCAUAUCUCCAUGUCGUCGUUAACAUUAAAGGACCACAAACUCCCCAAAAUCCCACAAUGAAUCCAAGUGCAAGGGAAAUAUAAAACCAUAGGAUUUCAUGCCCAUUGUCCACAUCUUGAUUAUUCUAAUUACCUGCAUCAAUCCCAUUAGUUCCCAGGCACUCAUUUGGGAGGGGAGCGCCACAAAGUUUCUGGUUCCCUCAAAAUGCAGAGGCAUUGAAGCCUUGGAACUGAGUAGUUGUUGGUAUUGGUCCUUCAAGAUUAUCGUAGGGGACAUUGAAAAAUGACAAGAAAAUAAGACUCCUCAUGAUGUUGGGAUUUUUCCAGACAAAUGAAACAUCGUACACUGCAAUUGUUGAACCACGGAUGAGUUGGAUGGCUAUUAAAGUAAGGGGAAUCUUCGUCAGCCAACCAAAUUUUCUAAUGAACAUCGUAGCACAAUUCAUAAAAUGUAAACUCUCAAAAGAAAAAUGAAAAUUUACAUUACGUGUGAUGCCAUGGCCAAAACAAUUUCCACAGAAAGGAGACUCAAAAGUCAGAGCAAGAAACCGAAGAAGAAACGGAAAAAAAAAAAAAAAAAAAAAAAACCGAAGAAGAUCCUCAAGAAAGAGCUCAACACGUCCAAUGCUCAGGAUAAAGGACAAGGUGGGAAAAAAAAAGGAAAGGAAAAAUGUGAAAGUGUUUUACAAAGUGAAAGGACGAAUGUUUUCAACAAAAAAAGGAAAAGGAAAUUUCAAGGUAAGCUUCCAUGGUUUGGGGGACAUGUCAUUUUUCUUUACCUGUUUCUUUUCUUACCAAAGUGAACUGGCUCUGGUCUGAUCCAUGUUUGCUUACUAAAGUUAAUUAAUUCACAGGAACGUUGAGAUGAAAGAGAGAGGAGAAAGGAAAUAAUGAGAAAGGACUGUUUUCCACAACGCCCUACCGAAACUUCCUUGCUGGGAUGCGUUCUCUUUCUUCUCACCAAAGUGAUUGUGUCCUGCUUACUGAUGCCGAGGGAAUUGAACACAUAAUUGCUGAGUUAAUGGCUUGAGUUAUAAGUAAUUGCACUCUUAGUUCAAUUGUUAGAAUAUUUAACAAACCCAAUUGUGUAGUUGCGUUAAUUAUUGAAGAUAUUUUGUAGUCAACACUCUACCUAAUUGUUGAGUUGUGAUUACCACCUUUUCCUUGAUUUGGGUUUCAUUAUAAUUAGUGUUGGCCCUUACAGCUUAAAUUUGUGGCAUGUUGUCUGGUGGUUUCUUGCCCUCACUCUCUCUCUCUCUCUCUCUCUCUCUCUCUCUCUCUCUCUAUAUAUAUAUAUAUAUAUAUAUAUGUUUAUGUACUGUGUAAAUCUCCUCAUGAUGGAAUAUACAAACAUUCAUUGAAAAUCAACAUUAAUACUUAUCUGCGUAGCUUCCUGGAACCUCUCUUUCUGCUGAUUUUCUUUCUAAUUCUAGUUCCACAAUCCCGUGCUCAGAGAAGAUUUCUUGAAACCACUUUCCAAUGGCAUUGAGCAGCCAAAGGGCCUUCACUUCAGCUACUGAGGUUUGUCCAUGGAAAUACGAAGUGUUUUUGAGUUUCAGGGGUGAAGACACUCGCAGGAGUUUUACAGACUAUUUAUACAAACAAUUGGACUGGCGAGGAAUCAGAACUUUCAGGGAUGAUCCAGAUCUUGAAAGAGGGACAGAUAUCAAUCAGGAGCUUCUGACCGCGAUUGAACAAUCAAAGUUCGCAAUCAUAAUUUUUUCAGCAAACUACGCUUGAUCAAGUUGGUGUUUGCGUGAACUAACCCAUAUUGUUCAGUCCAGGAAAGAGAAGGAGAGAAUUUUCCCAAUCUUUUAUGAUGUGGAUCCCUCUGAUGUAAGACAUCAACGGGGGAGUUUUGGGACAGCCCUCGUUAACCAUGAAAGGAAUUGUGCUGAAGACAGAGAGGAGGUGCUUGAGUGGAGAAAUGCUUUAAAAAAAGUUGCUAAUCUCGCUGGGUGGAAUUCAAAGGAUUAUAGGUAAGCAAGCAUGAAGCAACAACUGAUACAUAGCUAAUAAGACCAAUUCUUGAAUAUUGCAUUUCAGUUUUGCCAUGCACUUUAUUUACGAUAUAUUCAUAUAACCUCUUCUGAUGAAUGUUUUUUUCUUCUACUUCCAGGUAUGAUGCAGAGCUUAUCACAAAAAUUGUUGAUGCAGUGUGGGAUAAAGUGUAUCCCACAUUUUCAUUGUUAGAUUCCUCAGAUAUAUUAGUCGGACUUGAUACUAAACUAAGGGAAAUAGAUCUGCAUUUAGAUACAAGCGCAAAUGAUGUGCGCUUUGUGGGGAUAUGGGGGAUGGGCGGAAUGGGUAAGACAACCCUAGCUAGAUUAGAUUAUGAGAGAAUUUCUCAUAGUUUUGAAGGUAGCAGCUUACUUGCAAAUGUCAGAGAGGUCUAUGCAACACAUGCAUGGUCUAGUUCCUUUACAGAAACAGCUGCUUUCCAAUAUCUUGAGGGAAAAUAAUAUACAAGUUUAUGAUGCUUAUAGGGGAUUUACUAUGAUAAAGAGGUGUCUAUGUAAUAAAAAGGUUCUUCUCAUUCUUGAUGAUGUAGAUCAAUCAGACCAACUGGAAAUGUUGAUCAGAGAAAAAGACUACUUUGGUUUGGGAAGUAGAAUCAUCAUUACAACUAGAGAUGAACGUUUGUUAGUCGAACAUGGGAUAGAGAAGGUAUAUAAGGUCAUGCCAUUAACCCAAGAUGAAGCUCUUUAUCUCUUUAGUAAGAAGGCCUUUCAAAAAGAUGACCUUGAAGAAGAUUAUCUAGAACUGUCUAAAAGUUUCAUAAACUAUGCAGGAGGUCUUCCAUUAGCUCUUAAAACUUUGGGGUCUUUUUUGUACAAAAGAAGUCGAGAUGAAUGGAAGAGUGCACUAGAUAAACUCAAGCAAGCUCCUGACAGAAAAAAUUUUCAAAUGUUGAAAAUAAGCUAUGAUGGACUAGAGGAGAUGCAGAAGAAAAUUUUUCUUGAUGUUGCAUGUUUCCAUAAGUCUUAUGACAAGGAAACUGUGAUUAAAAUACUAGACAGUUGUGGUUUUGUUGGCACUCGUAUUGUGAUACAUGUUCUUAUUGAGAAAUCUCUCUUGUCUCUUUCAAACAAGCGUCUGUCCAUUCAUGAUUUGAUACAAGAAAUGGCAUGGGAGAUUGUUCGUCAAGAGUUUUGACGAGCCAGGUGGUCGCAGUCGCUUGUGGCUUCACAGUGACAUCAUUCAUGUACUCACGUACAAUACGGUAAGAAGUUGCGCAAAAAAUAAAAUACCAAAGCCUUGGAUAACAUACCAUAAUUCCAUUAAACAUGAUAAGAGAGACUUGAUUAUGACAUUAACUUUACUUUUAUUCCUAUUUGCAAGGGAACGGAAGCCAUUGAAGGCAUAGUCCUAUGCUUGCAGAAAUUUGAAGCGGCACACUGGAAUCCUGAAGCAUUCACUAAGACGUGUAAACUCAAGUUGCUCAAGAUUAAUAACUUGCGCCUUUCUUUGGGCCCAAAGUAUCUUCCCAAUUCCUUAAGGUUUCUGGAGUGGAGUUGGUAUCCCUCCAAAUGUCUGCCACCAAGAUUUCAACCGGAUGAACUUGCUGAACUUAGUCUGCAGCAUAGCAAAAUUGAUCACCUUUGGAAUGGAAUAAAGGUAGACCUUUGUAAAUCCAUUUCUUUUCAAUUUCAAUAAAUUGUAAGUUUAUCGGAAGUUAAUUAAUCUACCAUUUUCAUGUUUUAUACAGUUCAUGAUCAAGUUGAAAUCCAUUGAUCUUAGUUACUCCGAGAACUUGACAAGGACCCCAGAUUUCACAGGUACUCAGAAUCUUGAGAGGCUGGUUUUUGAAGGUUGUACUAAUAUUGUUAAGAUUCAUCCAUCCAUUGCCCCUCUCAAAAGACUAAGAGUUCUGAAUUUUAAAAAUUGUAAAAGGAUUAAGAGUCUCCCAAGUGAAGUAGAACUGGAAUCUCUUGAAACAUUUGAUCUUUCUGGGUGUUCAAAAGUGAAAAAGAUUCCAGAAUUUGUGGGAGAAAUGAAGAAUUUUUCGAAGCUUUCUUUAAGCUUCACUGCUGUUGAGCAAAUGCCUUCAUCAAUUGUACAUUUGAUCCCGAGUUUGAAGGAGAUUGAUGUGAGUGGAAUUUCUAUGAGAGAUGCGUCAUCACCCCUGGUUCCAGUGAAAAAUAUCGAACUGCCUAAAUCAUGGCAUUCUUUCUUCACUUUUAGCUUACUUCCAAGAAUGAAUCUGCACCCUGUGGGUCUGGUGUUAGCUUCCUUAAAAGAUUUACACUUUUUGAAGUGUCUAAAUCUGAAUGACUGCAAUCUUUGUGAAGGAGCAAUACCUGAAGAUAUUGGUUUAUUGUCCCUUUUAGAAAUAUUAAAUCUUGGUGGAAACCAUUUUGUUAGCCUUCCUGCAAGCAUCAGUGGGCUUUCUAAGCUUAGGUGGUUCAUAUUGAAGAAUUGCAAAAGGCUUCAAAAAUUGCCAAGCCUUCCAUCAAACAGACGACUAGAGUUUAUUGUACAGAUGGAUAAUUGUACUUACUUGAAAAUAUUCCCAUAUCAACCAUGGAUGUGCAGCGCAAAAGACGUUUUUAUUACUUCUUUCAAUUGCUUCAGUUUGGUUGACCAUGAAGGUUCCAGUUUCAUAAUAUAUUUAACGCUGAAGAAAUUCCUUCAGGUACUUCUCCUUCUCCCUCUCUCCCUCCUUCCCACUUUAGUUGUGUAGUACUAUUUAUAUCCUUCCUUUGGUGCAGGAAAGUCCUCGUUCUUUGAGCUUAUUCAGUAUUAUAAUUCCUGGAAGUGAAAUUCCUGAGUGGUUCAGUAAUCAAACUGUGGGAGACCCACUAAUUGAGACUCUACCUUCGGAUUCUAAUAGCAAGUGGGUGGGGUUUGCUUUUUGUGCUCUAGUUGGACCUGUUCAAGAAAUUUCACCUACCGCUGAGGAGCUAAUUGGUUUAGAACGUCAUUCAAUCUAUUUUCGCUGCCUUUUUGAUUUAAACACCCCUGCGUGCCCGGGUUGUUGUAUUGGGGUAGACGAUGUAGCGUCCGAUCACCUUUGGUUGCUCCUCAUGUCUAGGCAAGAUGUCUUUUUGGAACCAAACGGGAGACCUGGGACCUAUUGGAGGGAGAAAUGCGAUAAUAAGAUUCGGUUUCUUUUCUACGCAAGAUCUAAUCUAGGAGAGAAGUCGGUGGUGAAGGUGAAGAAGUGUGGAGUCCGCGCACUGUAUGAACAAGACGCUGAAGAGCUCAACCGAACAAUGAAACAAUAUUCCAACAAAAAGAAUUCUUUUUAUGAGGACGUUACAGAUUAUGAUUUUGACAAAUCAGAAUGGUACAAGGUGCCAUAACUAAGCGAACACGUGAACAGUACUGUACUGACACAGGACCAAGCGGUAUUGGUAGCCUUGGCAAAGAAUCACUCUGCAAAAAAAUGAAAGAAGACUAACUGUCCGGUGCCUCAAGGGAAGAGUUGAAAGGUUGGUAUUGAUACCUCUUCCCAUAUUAUCAUAUAACCUCUUCCCAUAUUAUCAUAUACCUCUUCCCCAAACAAUUAUAUAAUUUUUUUUUGUAUGCGAACAUUUUAGCAUAUGAUUCACUCUCUUUGUUACCUCUACAUAUUUCUAAUUCAUUCACGUUAUUAGUUCACUUUCCCAUUAUCUUAUAUAUUUUAGAUUGACGAUCUAAUACAUGGUUAACUAGUUCAAUUCAAGAACCUGUCAUAUAAUUGGUUCCUUAUGCAAAAAGCUUUUAUUUGUUUUUUUUUUCUUUUUUCAGGCAUCUGUUAUAACCCUUUCAAUGCGUUAGUGUGUUAGAGUUAAUAUGUAUAUGAUGCAUAAUUUUACUACUUAAAAUUUAGAUAGUUAAAUUCAAUAAAUAAACUUGCAAGCGCACAAGGUUAAUGCAUUAUAACUAGGGGUGCAAGUUGGAUUGGAAAAUCCGAUUCCGACCGAUUCCGGUCCGAAUAUUUCCAAAAAAAUCCGGCUCCGACAAAUCCGAAUUCCGUAAAUGCCGAAAUCCGAAAUUUCCGAAAAAAAUUGGAUCGGAUUCGGAAUGUACAUGGAACUUCCGAAAUUUCCGAAAUUUUCGAUCCGAAAUAUUCCAAAAUGUUCCGAACUCAUUCCGAUCCAAUAAUUCCGAUAUAUUCCUAAUAUAUUCCGAUUUUAAAAAUUCCGAAUAUUUGAAAAACAUUCCGAUCGAGAAAUUCCGAUUUAUUCCGAAAUAUUUUGAAUUAAUCCUACAAAAGUUUAGACAACAAUCAAUAUAUUUAAUUUAUAUGCAAGACAUUUAAUGCAUUCCCACAAUUUUUAAUUUGUCCAUAGUUCUGUCACAACCAACCAAAGACACAAGUUUUCUUUAAUAUUAUUGGCGAACAUUAUAUAUACAUUAUACAUACAUAAUGAAAAAAAUUUAAGUACAUUUAAAAAUAUUAGUAAAAGGAAAAAAAAAAAUUUGUAAUGCAACCAAUUUUGAAUUGAUCUAAAAUACGUAGUGUAUUGAUUUUUUUUUCUUUUAAUUCUAACUCAAUUUCUUGAAUAGGACUCAUUGGGGUAUGAGGUCAUGCAUUUAAUUAUAAACUUAUUUUCUUUAUAAUCAAUUGCCCAGGUGCUAAUGUAGUACUAUUUUCUUAAUAAUGUGAACAUAAACAAUAGGGGGUUGCAAAAAAGUUAGGUACAUCAAUAGGUAACUUACCCUUAAAAAAGGUAGGACAUUGACAUGUUGUAUCAAAUACAAAUUGGUAUCAAACUCUUGUUCAUGCAUAAAUCAUGAUUAUGAAAAUUAAAAAAUAGCGAUGAUCAUAGAAACACAUUAGGAUUGAACCCUAAUAGUAAGUAUGUAGUAGUAUCCAAGAUAAAGUUUAUAUAACAUUAUUUUUUAUCAAGUAUAUUCACAUGAUAUAUAUAUAUAUGUAAAAUAUAAUAUAAUAUAAAUUUGUAGAUUUUUUCCUGUUUGGUUGGCUUAAUCAUGAUUCACAAGAAAAUUUCAAAAUUUGAUUUCCAAAAUUAUUAUCCGAAAAUGCCGAAACUAUUAUCCGAAAAUUCCGAAAAUAUUAACUUCCGAAAAUUCCGAUAAUGCCGAAAAUUCCGCAUCAGAAUAGAGUUAGUACAUUCCGAAAUUUCGGAAUCGGACUCGGAACUAAAAGGUAAUUCCGAAAAUCUUCGGAACGGAAUUCGGAACAGUGGUUUCCGAUCCGUUCCGGCCGAAAAACACCCCUUAUAACCAAGGCAAGUACAAGGUCGUUCCCACAGAGACUGAAUUAAUUCCCAAGUUGUUGUGAAUUAUAAACUAAUUUAAAUCUUAAAUUAUUCUAGGCACCUAACUAAUAAAAUAAAAACUAAUGACUCAACUAAAACUUAAUAAAGGAGUUUUGAAAAAAUUUCUUCAAAAGAACGUUGAAAACAAGAAAAUUAAAAAACAAGAUAACAAAGAAAAACGUGAACUAAAUAAGUUUGUGAAAGAUUUUAAAGAAGCUUACCAAGACAACAAUUUCACCACAAUUCCUCUUAUCCAAACCUUAACAUGCAAAUUAUCAAAAUUCCAAAGUUAUGUUGAUGAUUAGCUAUCCAAAAUUAUGAUUAUCUCUUUUCACAGCAAUUAACCAUUUCUUCUUACACGCAAUGUAUCAUUGGCGUGAGACAUAAAUAUAAACAUAUAAAAAGACCAUAGGUUCGAUGAGAACUUCACACAAUCACACAAACCCUUAAGAGUAUGGUGUUUACCUUAGGCGUUGUUUACCUUAAGCUAUUGACUUUGAUCAAGUGAUUGUGAAUUUCGGUGAGGAAUAUCUCCCAAGUAAGUUCUUUUCUUGACUCAGACAGGUGAUGACUUUAUAAUUUCCCAUAGUAAAACUGGUAAGUCUAACCAAAAUAAAUGUUGAAAAUAAAACAAACUAGUUCAAAGAGAACCAUUUAUUACACAAUCAAACAAAAGAGAACUGUCAAGUCCGGAAGGACAUCAGAACAUUAGAAUUCAAUUUCUGCUUGGAUUGUUAUCUGUGACUUAGGCUGGACUGGAUAUAUUUGUGCUGGAAUUGCACGUCAGCACCUUCAAUUAACGGGGAUCAGCUGGAAAUCGAUAUGAAUGUUGAGAUUGACUGAGCUAUAAUCAGAUUUAACCGUGGAGAGCCUUGUCGAGUGGGCAGAACUGAGAUCUCCUCGGUCUGGACUGGAUUGGAAGCGGCUGGAUUGGCAAUUGCUGACCUGGAAUCACACUUCAGUACCUGUUUUGCUUGGCUAAGGGUCACCUGAGGACUAUUCUGGUGAUUUUGGGACAUCAAGAUGUCUCUGAAAAUUUGUUGAGGUUUUCAUAUUAUGAAAAAUCCAAACUCCACUUUCACACCCAAAAAAAAAAAAAAAAAAAAAAAAACUCAAACUCAACUUGGUUCAUCUGUUUUGAACCAAAUUUGUAACGAGAGAAAUCUCGUUUCCUUUGUGAACUGCUUCUUUGAACUGAAUUGAAGUCAGAAAUCUGAGUUCUGCCUGUUUUGUUUGAAGCUGGAUGGCUUUUACAAACCAAAUAGCUUGAUUGCUUCUCAGUUUGGAGACUUUUGGGACCGUAUGAUCUUGCUUGAUUUUUGUCAGUAUGACUGAGAGUUUUUGUCUUGAUUGGAUUUUUAGCUGUCGUUUAUCCAAUUCACAUCCUCAUAUAUUUAUAGGAAAUCUGCAUGAGUGAUGAUUCCUUAAUAUCUGGAGGUUUAGUUAUUCUGACAAGAAAAACCCACGUCAAGAGUCAGUUUUGUGAUGAUCAGUUUUGAGUUUCUUGACAACCAACUCUCCGACUUCUUGUCCAUCCCCUUGCAAACUGAAUUUGUACUGAGGGACCUUCAUGAGUAUGGGAAGGAAACUUAGCCUGUUUUUCUAGCAUUUAAUGGUUAUGGGGAGUGGUUUUUGAUUUCACCUUUCUACCAACUCCCCCAAAUAUCCUCAGUCUGUUUCCUGUUGACGUCUUGUCAUUAGAAUCAUGUGGGUAUUGAGGGGAAAGACUCCUUCCCUGUAUCUGUUGAUCUGAUUUUGAAUUGGUAAUCAACGAUGAUGAUCAAACCUUGAACCUUUAGGAAAAAAAUCUAGAAGCUGGGUAUGAAUUAAACAAAUUAAAUUUGGCUUUUUCAGAUUAAAUCACAAUUUAAUGGCAAUUAACCUUUAUCUUGUGAAGUGUAAUUUCGUAAUUGGUUUCAUUCCAUUUUUCUUCUUUCAAAAUGGCUUAGGCUGGCUCCCAAUUUUGGUAAAACAUAGCCCAAACCUGUAUCAUCAAUCUAGCCCAAUAGCCAGAUAGGCCGGCGCAUAGAAAUUAGGCCUAAACAAGCGCAUUCAUGAAUUUAAUCACAAGAAGCAAAACUCAUAUUAAGCAUGGCGUAUACCCUAACAUGCAUCAAAUUACUUAACCAAAAACCUAGAUGGUAGCUAAGCUUCAAGAUCAUUAGUUAAGAAAAUAAGCACAAUGAUUAAAUUUUAACAACAUGGAAAUUCUAAUAGCAUGACAUAACUAAGCUUUGAAUAAUUAGAAAAGAUUUACAUUAUGUCUUAGUAAAAGAAAAUUGGUUACUCAUAGUCAUGAUAACAAAGCAAAAAUAAAACAUGGAGAAAGAGAUAAGAAAAACCCUUAAAGUUUAGAGGCACGAUCGUUCUUCCUUACUCCACUAGUUAAUUCUAAAAUUUCUCCCAUCUCCCCGUCUAAAAAAAGAAACCUAAAACUAGUUAGACUGAGCCUAAACAAGUGGCCUUACACGAAGACUUGAUUUCCAAGUCAGUUCCUAACUAGAAAAUGUAAUUAAAACUAAUUUUCCUAAAACUUCCAGGAAACUGCAUGUGAUCCUCUUUGCGAAUGCAAUUUGAACACAUUCCUGACCUCCGAAAAUUGCGUACGUCAGUAUGUUCUGGAUGUCUUCUUUUCAGCCAUAUUACGUCUACACUAUGACCUUAAGACGAAUUACGCCCCACACUAGUGCUUAUGGUUCACUAGCGUUCGCCUCCCAGGAUACAACGACUCCCCUCCUUAUGAAAGAAGCACUGCAAUUCACAAGGAACUUUGAACCAAAAUUAUGCAGGAAACUCUCUUUAUGCAAACUCUAAUGCUCUCUAUAUAUGAAAGUAUGUAUCUAGAGAAUUGAUUGAAUGAAUAAAACUGCAGGAGGAUUGCUCUAUUUAUAGAUGAUGAAAUACCCUUUCCAAAAAGGUAUCCCAAUCUGAAAAGGCAAACAGUGCAUCCUUUGGCCUUGAAGAGUUGUCACCCCAAACAAUGUAUCCCUUAGUUUGAAGAGUUGUCACCCCCCAAUUGAAGAUGUCUUUACCCAAGGGUCAUGUCUUUAACCCAAUGGAUUUUAUUAAUUUCCAUUCAAAUAGAAAAUUAAUAUUAAAAAUAAUAUUAAAUUUCUCACAAUCCCCCACAUGAAUGGAAAUUAGUUUCAACAAUAUGCAAAUGAUAAUGCAGACUUAGAGAGAGUUCCUAUUAGAAGAAUAUGGCAUCUGGAUAGGUAGCUUUUGGCUUUGAACCUUCCAUAGUGAAGUACUAUCGGAUUUACUUGGCUAAUCAGUGAACGUGAUGUCUUGAACUGUUCAGCCGUUUGUGUAAACCCAGACAAUAAUACUCACACAAUACCCUUCUAGACAUAUCUGGUUCGAUCGGUUGUGCCCGUUUUGGCCCUGAGCAACUCCUGGCAUUCAUAAGUGCUUUAGAGAAUUUAGCCCUAAAAAUUCUCAUGGAAACGGCCCUAUUUCACACUUAUAUAGGUGAUUUCCUAUUGGUAAUAUCCUCUCAUAUCUUACUCGGAUAAUCAAGGUAUAGGAAUCAUUAAAAGCAUAGCUUAACCUAAACACAUUUCAUACAACACUGUAUCAUCAUAGGAUAUGGGUAGGAGAAUAUAUCUCUGCAGUGUUAUUUUUGAGUUAUCAUAAUUUAGUUGUCCCUUUUGAACCUAGAUCUUGGGAUCUCCAGUCAACUAGGUUGGGUUUCCACUAUGACUACUCAUUUGACAUGGGCUUUAACCCCAUUCCCCUCGAUGAUCUAUAAACUUGUUCUCCGUUCAAACCUUUAGUAAAUGGAUCCGCCAAAUUAUCUCUUGACUUUAUGUAGUCAAUGGUAAUUAUACCACUGGAGAGCAGUUGCUUAACGGUGUUGUGUCUUCGACGUAUAUGUCGAGACUUGCCGUUGUACAUAUUGUUUUGUGCCCUUGCAAUUGUAGAUUGACUAUCACAAUGUAUACAUAUAGCAGGCACAGGUUUUGGCCAACAUGGAAUAUCUUCUAAGAAAUUACGUAGCCAUUCAGCUUCCUCACCAGCUUUAUCUAAUGCUAUGAACUCAGAUUCCAUAGUAGAUCUAGCUAUAAUAGUUUGCUUAGUAGAUCUCCAUGAUAUAGCCGCACCUCCAAUUGUAAAGACAUAUCCACUUGUAGAAUUGGAGUCUUUUGCAUCAGAUAUCCAAUUAGCAUCACUAUAUCCUUCAAGUACAGCUGGAUAUCUUGUAAAAUGCAAUCCAACAUUUUUGGUGUAUCUUAAGUAUCUUAGAACUCUGACUAUAGCUUUCCAAUGAUCCCUUCCAGGAUUACUAGUGUAUCUGCUUAAUCUAUUAACAGAGUAAGCUAUAUCAGGCCUUGUGCAAUUCGUAAGAUACAUGAGACUACCAAUAAUACGAGCAUAUUCUAUUUGUGAUACACCAUGACCUAUAUUCUUCACAAGAUUAAGACUUGGAUCAUAAGGAGUUCUUACUGGACUAGUAUCAUACUUGCUAAACUUCGCAAGUAUUUUCUCAAUAUAAUGUGAUUGGGAUAAAACUAGUCCAUCAGAUGUUCUAGAAAUUUUAAUUCCUAGAAUCACAUCUGCUACUCCCAAAUCUUUCAUGUCAAAAUUUUUGGUCAACAUUUUCUUGGUAGAUUUAAUCAUCCCAAUAUUGCUACCAAUAAUUAACAUAUCAUCAACAUAAAGACAAAUAAUGACAAAACCAUCUUGAGUGCUUUUCAUAUAAACACAUUUAUCACACUCAUUGAUCUUGAAACCAUUUGACAUUAAUGCAUUGUCAAAUUUCAGAUGCCAUUGUUUUGGUGCUUGCUUUAACCCGUACAAGGACUUAACAAGCUUACAUACUUUCUUUUCUUGUCCAGGAACAAUAAACCCUUCAGGUUGUUCCAUAUAAAUUUCCUCAUCUAAAUCACCAUUUAGAAAGGCCGUUUUCACAUCCAUUUGAUGUAUCUCAAGAUUAUGCAAUGCUGCAAUUGCAAUUAACAUUCUUAUUGAUGUUAUUCUCGUAACUGGUGAAUAUGUGUCAAAAUAAUCCAAUCCUUCUUUUUGUUUAUAACCUUUGACAACAAGCCUUGCCUUAUAUUUGUCAAUUGAUCCAUCAGCUUUCAUCUUUUUCUUAAAAAUCCAUUUAUAACCCAAUGGUUUAUUUCCAGGAGGAAGAUCCACAAGUUCCCAAGUGUGAUUCUGCAUGAUGGAUUCAACUUCGGCAUUAAUAGCCUCUUUCCAUAAAAGAGCUUCAGGAGAAGUCAUGGCUUCUUUGUAAGUUUGAGGCUCAUUUUCUAACAAAUAAGUUAGAAACUCAGGACCAAAGGAUUUGGUUGUCUUAGCUCUCUUACUACGCCUGGGUUCAUGUCCAGGUUCUGGUUCUGCAGUCUCUUGGUCUAUAUUUUCUUGAUGACUUUCUUGGUUAUCGCUAUUAACAGUAUCUAAGGUUCUUUUAAGUGUAUUUCUUUCUUGUGCAUCCUUAUAAGGAAAUACAUUUUCAAAGAAAGAUACAUUCCUUGAUUCAAUAAUCGUAUUCACAUGUACAUCUAAUAUAUCAGAUUUGUGUACAAGGAAACGAUAUGCACUACUGUUAAUGGCAUAACCGAUAAAUAUACAGUCAAUAGUUUUGGGUCCUAUCUUAACCUUUUUAGGGGUUGGAACCGCAACUUUAGCUAGACACCCCCACACUUUCAAGUAUGUAUAGGAAGGCUUGUGACCUUUCCAUAACUCAUAAGGUGUUUUGUCUAACUUUUUAUGUGGCAAUUUGUUGAGAAUGUAAUUAGCAGAAAGUAAAGCUUCCCCCCACAAAUUCUGGGGUGCUCCAGAACUUACUAGCAACGCAUUCAUCAUUUCUUUUAAAGUACGAUUUUUACGUUCAGCAAUACCAUUUUGCUGAGGUGAGUAUGGGGCAGUUGUUUGGUGAAUAAUUCCGUGUUGGGAACAAAACUCACCAAAAGGUGAUUCAUAUUCACCACCUCUAUCACUUCUUAAUUUCUUUAUUUUCCUGCUAAGUUGAUUCUCAACUUCACUUUUAUAAUGUUUGAACAUUUCUAUGGCCUCAUCUUUGCUUCUUAGCAAAUAUACUUGACAAUAUCUUGUACAAUCAUCAAUAAAAGUAAUAAAAUACUUUUUACCACCUCUAGUUUGUACAAAUUUCAAGUCACAAAUAUCACUGUGAAUUAAUUCUAGAGGUUCUGUACUUCUUUCUAUAGACUGGAAUGAUGAUCUAGUUAGUUUUGCUUCAACACAGGUUUCACAUUUAUUAUGGAAAUCAAUAUGAAACUUAGGUAUUAGUUCCAUGUUAAUUAAUUGACGCAAUUUGUCAUAAUUAACAUGCCCUAAUCUUCCAUGCCACAAAUCAGAUAACUCAAGCAUAUAAGCAGAACUAACUUUAUUAUUAUUAACUUUGUGUACAACAGUCAUUACAUUCAUCUUGAAGAGUCCAUCAGUAAGGUACCCUUUCCCCACAUACAUUCCAUUCUUUGUAAGUACAAACUUAUCAGACUCAAAGACUAGUUUGAACCCAUUCUUGCUAAGCAGUGAUCCAGAAACCAAGUUCUUCCGGAUCUCAGGGACGUGAAGUACAUUAUUGAGAGUGACUUCCUUUCCAGAUGUCAUCUUUAGAACUAUUUUCCCUUGGCCAUGAAUUUUGGAGGUGGAGGAGUUUCCCAUGAAUAAAGGCUCUCCUUGAUCAUUUGCUGCAUAGGUAGAAAACAUCUUCCUUUCAGAACAUAUGUGGCGUGUAGCUCCAGUAUCCACCCACCAUUCCUUGGUGUUGCCCACCAAGUUCACUUCAGACACAACUGCAGAAAGAUUAAUAUCUGACAAGUCAGUUGAAAGCUUGUCUUCUUCAGUCAUGUGUGCCUCAGUCUUGCCCUUUUUCUUUUGGUUGCCUUGUCCAUUUCUACUUCGGCAAUCCACAGCUCGAUGGCCUUGCUUGUUGCAAUUGAAACACUUUCCCUUAAACUCCUUGGAUUUCUUGGAGUUCCCUUGACUUGAGCCUUCUCCAGAGUGCUUCCUCUUCUUGUUAUUUCUUGACUCUUUUUCCACUAUGUUAGCCUUAGCUUCCAUUAUGGAUCCAGACUUUUUGUCAGCACGGCGAUUGUCCUCUUCGAUCCUUAGCCUUACUAUCAAAUCCUCAAGUCCCAUCUCCUUACGCUUAUGCUUAAGGUAGUUUUUGAAAUCCUUCCAAGAGGGUGGUAAUUUUUCAAUGACAGCAGCCACUUGAAAAGACUCACUCAAUUCCAUCUUUUCUGCAUGUAUCUCAUGUAGAAUGAGUUGCAGUUCUUGGACUUGACUUAUGACAGUCUUGGAGUCUACCAUCUUGUAGUCAAGAAACCGACCGACAAUGAAUUUCUUCAUUCCUGCAUCUUCGGUCCGAUAUUUCUUAUCUAGUGACUCCCAUAAAGCCUUGGCCGUCUGAAUUGGACAAUACACAUUGUAUAGUGCAUCACUUAAACCAUUUAGGAUGUAGUUCCUGCAAAGGAAAUCCGACUGGUUCCAUGCAUCAGAAGCAGCCACUGUUUCUAUUGUAUCACCAGGUCCAGGAGGAUCUGCUUUCAGGAUAUGAGCCAAAUUCAAUGUGGUGAUGUAGAACAACAUCUUUUGUUGCCAUCUCUUAAAAUCCAUCCCAUUAAAUUUUUCAGGCUUCUCUGCAUGAUUAUGGGAUGAAGGCAACACUACAGCAGGUGCACUUGUCUUCACAGAAGGACCCACUUUCUGUAUCUCAUUCGACAUUUUCCUUAAUUGAGUGAACAAUCUCAAUGUCAAUAAACAAAUAUAUGGUAGUCUUUAAUAGAUAAAUAAUGAAUCACAAUAGUGUGUUACAACAAAACACACAGAAAUUAAUAAUACAAUACCGAUAAGAAGUAUAGCAAACGCAAUAUGCAAUUUAUUCAAGAUAACAGUAAUACAAAAUGCUAUAUUUCACAGAUACAGUGAAUUUAAUGUAUGUAGAUAAAUAUAAUCAGAAUUUAUAAACAGAAUAAUAAAAAAUGAUGCCAAACAGAAAAUAGAAUCCAAAUAAAUAAAUAAAAACGAUGCUGUAUAUUUAGACUUUGUCUAACAAAAGAAACAGAAGGCAAUCAGUGUUUGUGGCAAUCUUUAUUGAAUGGUCCUGAUUAUUAUAACUUAGCUUUGGUUAACUUCGAAUUGUAUAAAACAAAGGAAACUAACAGGAAACCAAUUCAAUAGAAUAAACAACUAAUAAAAAGAUGUUUUGCUGUUUGUACCAAAAUCAAACCUUUUGCAGCGUUAACAAUUAAAUGCACAAACACAGAUUAAUGUAUAUAGCAAUUAACACAUAUACUAAUUCGUCUUAAGAUUGUAGGAAAAAAUAGUGCUAAAUUGCUAUAAAAUAAACAAAUAAACACUGCAAACAAAACAAAUUUUUACAACAGUAGUAUGUAAUUAAAAGAACCUUAAUUGAGUCGAGGCAAGUGUUGGACACUCUGACCUUAAGACGAAUUACGCCCCACACUGGUGCUUAUGGUUCACUAGCGUUCGCCUCCCAGGAUACAACGACUCCCCUCCUUAUGAAAGAAGCACUGCAAUUCACAAGGAACUUUGAACCAAAAUUAUGCAGGAAACUUUCAUAUAUAUCUAGAGAAUUGAUUGAAUGAAUAAAACUGCAGGAGGAUUGCUCUAUUUAUAGAUGAUGAAAUACCCUUUCCAAAAAGGUAUCCCAAUCUGAAAAGGCAAACAGUGCAUCCUUUGGCCUUGAAGAGUUGUCACCCCAAACAAUGAAGAUGUCUUUACCCAAGGGUCAUGUCUUUAACCCAAUGGAUUUUAUUAAUUUCCAUUCAAAUAGAAAAUUAAUAUUAAAAAUAAUAUUAAAUUUCUCACACAUUUGUCUUCUCUAAAUUUGCAUUUCCUUUUCUUAUAUUGAGAACCAUCCCAAACAUGCAGGAUGUCUUUUGUCAUUAGCCCUUAUUUCUUUUACCGAACUCCAUACUUUGGUAGGUAGUCAAUACCCUUAUUAUAUGCGAAUAAUAAAUUUCAAAGAUACUUUACACUUUAAAGGUUAUUUAGAUAAAGCGAUUUCAACUCUAGAAGAUAUUAUAAAGUUUAAUUGUUUGUUUAAACUAUUUAAUUGGAUAGUUACUUUAAUACUUGUAUGCUUACACACACACACACAAAACGUGUUGGAGUUAUAGUUGGAGUCCCACACAAUUUUAGUAGGGAGCUUCACAAAUAAAAACCCUCUAAACAGGUUUUUUUUUUUUCGGUUUGAAUGUUUCAUAUUUUGAGCUCUCUCUCUCUCUCUAUGUUUUAUUGAUUAAUAAUACAUUUUUUAUAACUUUAAUUCAGUGAUGAAACCAUGAAAGAAAGAAAACUCUAACUAUUUCAUUAAUAAGAAGGAAUCAAUACAAACAAACAAUCAAUGAUGAAACAUUGUUGUACUAUACACUCUGGUCGUACCAAAACAAUUUCCGCACAAAACAGGGCCAAAAUACAUGGAAGAAGAAACGAGGGAAUACCCAAGAAAGAGCUGAACACGUCUAAUGACAAAAAGGUUAAGAGGAAAAACAUGAAAUAUACUGCCAAAGUGAAAUGACCAAGACCAACAAAAUGAAUGAAAUUUCAAGGCAAAAGUGUCUAGUCCAAGCAAGUUCCCAACUUUCGUUUUAUUUUCUAGGGAGGAAGAUAUUUACAUGACAUCUUGAAGCUGUCCACUUUAGUAAGGAAUCAAAUCAAUACGAACAAACACUUUAGUAAGGAAAUCCACGUCACCCCACUAUAGAAAGGAAAUAAUGAGAAAGGACAAGUGUUUUCCACUUGGUGGGAUGCGUUCUCUUUCUUCUCACAAAAGUGAUUGUGUCCAGCUUACUGAUGCCGAGGGAAUUGAACACAUAAUUGCUGAGUUAAUGGCUUGACUUGAGUUUUAAGUAAUUGCAUUAAUACUUACCUGCGUAGCUUCCUGGAACCUCUAUCUGUACUGAUUUUUCUUUUCUUUCUAAUCAUUCUAGUUCCACAAUCCCGUGCUCAGAGAAGAUUUCUUGAAACCACUACUUUCCAAUGGCAUCGAGCAGCCAAAGGGCCUUCACUUCAGCUACUGCAGUUUGUUCAUGGAAAUACGAAGUGUUUUUGAGUUUCAGGGGUGAAGACACUCGCAGGGGUUUUACAGACUAUUUAUACAAACAGUUGGACUGGCGAGGAAUUAGAACUUUCAGGGAUGAUCCAGAUCUUCAAAGAGGGGCAGAUAUCAAUCCGGAGCUUCUGACCGCGAUUGAACAAUCAAGGUUUGCAAUCAUAGUUCUUUCAACAAACUAUGCUUCGUCAAGUUGGUGUUUGCGUGAACUAACCCAUAUUGUUCAGUCCAUGAAAGAGAAGGAGAGAAUUUUCCCAAUCUUUUAUGAUGUGGAUCCCUCUGAUGUACGACAUCAACGGGGGAGUUUUGGGACAGCCCUCGUUAACCAUGAAAGGAAUUGUGGUGAAGACAGAGAGGAGGUGCUUGAGUGGAGAAAUGCUUUAAAAAAAGUUGCUAAUCUCGCUGGGUGGAAUUCAAAGGAUUAUAGGUAAGCAAGCAUGAAGCAACAACUGACACAUAGCUAAUAAGACCAAAUCUUGAAUAUUGCAUUUCAGUUUUGCCAUGCACUUUAUCUACGAUAUAUUCAUAUAACCUCAUCUGAUGAUUUUUUUCUUCUUCUUUUACUUCUAGGUAUGAUACAGAGCUUAUCACAAAAAUUGUUGAUGCAGUGUGGGAUAAAGUGCAUCACACAUUUUCAUUGUUAGAUUCCUCAGACAUAUUAGUCGGACUUGAUACUAAACUAAAGGAAAUAGAUCUGCAUUUAGAUACAAGCGCAAAUGAUGUGCGCUUUGUGGGGAUAUGGGGGAUGGGCGGAAUGGGUAAGACAACCCUAGCUAGAUUAGUUCAUGAGACAAUUUCUCAUAGUUUUGAAGGUAGCAGCUUUCUUGCAAAUGUCAGAGAGGUUUAUGCAACACAUGGUCUAGUUCCUUUACAGAAACAGCUUCUUUCCAAUAUCUUGGGGGAAACAAAUAUACAAGUUUAUGAUGCUUAUAGUGGAUUUACUAUGAUAAAGAGGUGUCUAUGUAAUAAAAAGGUUCUUCUCAUUCUUGAUGAUGUGGAUCAAUCAGACCAACUGGAAAUGUUGAUCAGAGAAAAAGACUGCUUUGGUUUGGGAAGUAGAAUCAUCAUUACAACUAGAGAUGAACGUUUGUUCGUCGAUCAUGGGAUAGAGAAAGUAUAUAAGGUCAUGCCAUUAACCCAAGACGAAGCUCUUUAUCUCUUUAGUAGGAAGGCCUUUAGAAAAGAUGACCUUGAAGAAGAUUAUCUAGAACUGUCUAAAAAUUUCAUAAACUACGCAGGAGGUCUUCCAUUAGCUCUUAAAACUUUGGGGUCUUUUUUGUAUAAAAGAAGUCGAGAUGAAUGGAAGAGUGCACUAGAUAAACUGAAGCAAGCUCCUGACAGAAAAAUUUUUCAAAUUUUGAAAAUAAGCUAUGAUGGACUAGAGGAGAUGCAGAAGAAAAUUUUUCUUGAUGUUGCAUGUUUCCAUAAGCUUUAUGACAAGGAAGAAGUGAUUGAAAUACUAGACAGUUGUGGUUUUGUUGGCACUCGUAUUGUGAUACAUGUUCUUAUUGAGAAAUCUCUCUUGUCUAUUUCAAACACGCAUCUGUCCAUUCAUGAUUUGAUACAAGAAAUGGCAUGGGAGAUUGUUCGUCAAGAGUCUUUUGACGAGCCAGGUGGUCGCAGUCGCUUGUGGCUUCACAGUGACAUCAUUCAUGUACUCACGAACAAUACGGUAAGAAGUUGCACAAAAAAUAAAAUACCAAAACAUUGGAUAACAUACUAUAAUUCCAUUAAUAACGAUAAGAGAGACUUGAUUAUGACACUAACUUUUCUUUUAUUCCUAUGUACAAGGGAACGGAAGCCAUUGAAAGCAUAGUCCUAUGCUUGCGUGAAUUUGAAGCGGCACACUGGAAUCCUGAAGCAUUCUCUAAGAUGUGUAAACUAAAGUUGCUCAAGAUUAAUAAUUUGAGCCUUUCUUUGGGCCCAAAGUAUCUUCCCAAUUCCUUAAGGUUUCUGGAGUGGAGUUGGUAUCCCUCCAAAUGUCUGCCCCCAAGUUUUCAACCUAAUGAACUUGCUCAACUUAGUCUGCAGCAGAGCAAAAUUGAUCACCUUUGGAAUGGAAUAAAGGUAGACCUUUGUAGAGCUAGUUCUUUUCAAUUUCAAUAAAUUUUGCAAGGUUCUUGGAAGUUAUUAUUAUUAUUUUUUUGUCUGAGUUCUUGGAAGUUAAUUAAUCUACCAUUUUCAUGUUUUGUACAGUACAUGGUGAAGUUGAAAUCUAUUGAUCUUAGUUACUCCGAGAACUUGACAAGGACCCCAGAUUUCACAGGUACUCAGAACCUUGAGAGGCUGGUUUUUGAAGGUUGUACUAAUCUUGUUAAGAUUCAUCCAUCCAUUGCCUCUCUCAAAAGACUAAGAGUUUUGAAUUUUAAAAACUGUAAAAGCAUUAAGAGUCUCCCAAGUGAAGUAGAACNNNNNNNNNNNNNNNNNNNNNNNNNNNNNNNNNNNNNNNNNNNNNNNNNNNNNNNNNNNNNNNNNNNNNNNNNNNNNNNNNNNNNNNNNNNNNNNNNNNNAUUUUUCGAAGCUUUCUUAAGCUCACUGCUGUGAGCAAAUGCCGUCAUCAAAUAUACAUUCCAUGGCGAGUUGAAGGAGCUGAUAUGAGUGGAAUUCUAUGAGAGAUCCCCCAUCUUCCCUAGUUCCUGUGAAAGAUAUUGAACUGCCAAGAUCAUGGCAUUCUUUCUUCACUUUUGGCUUAUUUCCAAGAAAGAAUCCCCACCCUGUGAGUCUGGUGUUAGCUUCCU